AAGCUUAGGUUAACCCCAUCUAAACCUGAAGCCUUCAAAGCUUCGAACAAGAGUACCCACACUAUUAGCAUCUGCCAU
rnacentral:tRNA from 1 species